rnacentral:rRNA from 1 species
UGGGGAAUAUUGCACAAUGGGGGAAACCCUGAUGCAGCGACGCCGCGUGAGUGAAGAAGUAUUUCGGUAUGUAAAGCUCUAUCAGCAGGGAAGAAAAUGACGGUACCUGACCAAGAAGCCCCGGCUAACUACGUGCC